UACUCUCCCUGUGUUCUGUGGUUCAGGUAGAUUCAGUCUUUACACUCAGAUAACUAACACUGUCUUUUUUCAGACUGAGAGAGAAACCUGAUUGCUGCUUUGGCUGACUACCUGAACUCUGACCCCUGCUCCUGCUCUGACUGACCCAGAGAGAACUCAGACGCAGAGAGAACCGGACCAGAACUCCUGCUUGGCUGGUGAUCAGAUUUUUAGUCACUGAGGUUCAGUCCAUCACAUCACUGAGUAUAGGAGUGU